AUGGAAUAAGAAUCUAUACAUAUAAAUAUAUGGAUGAGCAAUGUAGGCAAGAUGCAAUAGAUGGUAUAAAAUGCAAUAUAUACAUAUGAGAUGAGUGAUGCAAGAUAUGUCAACAUUAUUAAAGUGGCAUUAUUAAAGUGACUAGUGAUCCAUUUAUUAAAGUGGCCAAUGAUUUCAAGUCUGUACGUAGGCAGCAGCCACUCUGUGUUAGUGAUGGCUGUUUUACAGUCUGAUGGCUUUGGUGGCCCAACACACUAUUAAGACACUUUAUGUUGAGGUUUCCUUAAUUUUUGUCAGUUACCUGUAUAUUCAUUUGUUAUAUAUGAUGUCCCCCAUCCUCUUCAUAAUGUCCCCUUCAUAAAGUAACAGACAGUAAGCAAACUGUUUGAUUCUGAGCAUUUAUUGACACUUAAAAUAUUCCUUUACCCAGACAAAUGGCACCAGGUGUCUACAAUUAAGACACAAAUGUUUGAAUUUCAAUUACACAUUUAAAAAGUACCUAUUUUCUGCCCAACAUGUAGGCUAAACUUUCCCUUUCUUCAAACAGGUCAAAGGGUGCUGCUGAAUGUUUCAUAGUAUAUUUUUAUCUUUGGGUGAACAUUGGACCCCAUAUCUUCCUCGUUAUGGAUGAACAUUGGACCCCAUAUCUUCCUCGUUAUGCGUGAACAUUGGACCACAUAUCUUCCUCGUUAAGGGUGAACAUUAGACCCCAUAUCUUUCUCGUUAUGGGUGAACAUUAGACCCUGUAUCUUCCUCGUUAAGGGUGAACAUUGGACCCCAUAUCUUCCUCGUUAAGGGUGUACAUUGGACCCCAUAUCUUCCACGUUAUGGGGGAACAUUGGACCACAUAUCUUCCUCGUUAUGGGUGAACAUUGGACCCCAUAUCUUCUACGUUUCAUUCUGAACAUUUUAAUAAAAACAAUGAAUGUCAAAUCAUAAAAAGGAACACAUAUCUUCACAGAUUUGACAUGUAUUGUAAAAGAUCAAAAACUAAGUCAACAACGGCCAGCAACCAAGGUUUUUGGAACAUUUGUAGAAUUCAGGGUUCACUUCACUGAACCAUCUUAGCCUGUGUAUCCCUCUCCCCCUCGUCAUUCACUAAACACUUGCAGAAUGAGAGGACCUCUGUUUUGAAAGCCUAUUUUGCACCAUCACCAGUGUACUUUCUGGUUUACUUGAAUAAUAAAUAGAGAAUUAAAAUGAAAUGCAAAAAUGUAAGUUAUUUAUGUUUAUUUGUACUGCCCAUAUUGCAAAUGUGCUGAUUGUUAUAAUAUUCAUGUAUACUUUUCCUAAUUGGAUAUUUCUGUGCUAGGUAUUAGCCACAUUUUGGUUUUCACAUGUUCACCAUCACCAUCAUCAUCAUCUCUGAAUUCCAUGAUGAACAAGUAGGCCUACCAAAUAAUACUCAGGGGGUUUAAUCAUCAUGUACACAAAGGAUGAAAAUAAUAAAUACAUAUUGCAAUAAAAUUGCUUUAAUUUUAGUGUUAUCUGCAUGCAAUACCACAUGCAGUUAGAGAGGGUUUGUGAGGAGAGGACCAUGAUCAUGCAUGACCACACUGCCACAACCAUAGACUGACCAUACUGUCACAACCACAGACUGACCAUACUGUCACAACCACAGACUGACUGUAUGACCACAUUACUGAGCGCUGAUGUUCUUAUAUUGACUAUACCAACUCUACCAUCGCUUCCAUCCCAUAAUCCUUCCUUCCGUAAACCAUAUUUCCACCCAUCCUUUCAGAUCAGUGAACAUUGAGGAUAGUUGAUAAUGAGGAGAUUAUAAAAGAACACGUCAGGGUUUCUACAGUUUAGUUAAACUGAAAUGUAUAGAGCUUCAAUUAACGCUGCUCUAUACUGGCACACAUUUAACUUAGAAAUUAUUUAUUACAAUACAUUCAUAUAAUCCCCUUGACACGACUUCCGCCGAAGUCGGUCCCUCUCCUUGUUCGGGCGGCGUUCGGCGGUCGACACAGGCAAUAUUACACCCCUCCACAAACAUUUAAAUGUUAUCCUUUUCACAGUGAACAUGGUUUGUUAAUCACAUUGAGGCGGGUUUAUGAAAUAGAAACGAACACAAAUUAAAAGUUGUAACAAAAGAUUGCUGUGCAAUUAAAAUGUGUUAAAAAUGUAAAUUGUGUUAAAAAAAUUUAAAUUUGUGUUAAAAAUGUAAACAUUUUAAAUUUGUAAAAACAAGACUGCAGAACAUGACAAGGGCCAAAUAUGAUGACUGGAGUAUCCUCUUUAAUUUCACAGACCAUUAAAAAUAUGCUUCUUUGUGUCCACCAUAGAAAAUAAAAGUACACAUGUCAAUAAAUGAAAAGGUUUUUGAAAAGUAAACUUUUCAUUUUGGAUGAGGACAAUGCUAGUAUUUCUUAUUAAGUAUCCUCACACAAAAACAUUUGUCAAAUCUACUUUGUUUUUAAAAAAGUAAUUCAGUCAGUAAAAUGCAAAUGUGGUAUGACACACCUUUUCAUAAGUAAUAAUCUUAAGUAAUUACAAGUAAUAGUCUUUAAUGCGUGUAUGUGCCCAUUAAACUAAACUGCUCAGAGAAAAGGCAGGCAUAAUAUACAUUGAUUAUAAAUGUAUGUUACUUGUAUCAUGAAAACGUUUCCUCAUAAAUCUACAAAAAAGAUACAUCAUGAAUACCUCUUACCAAAUAAAUUACACGUAUCCUUAAAUUAAAAAUACACUGAGUGUACAAAACAUUAGGAACACCUGCUCGUUCCAUGAAAAGACUGACCAGGUGAAAGCUAUGAUCCCUUAUUAGUGUCACUUGUUAAAUCCACUGUAGAUGAAGGGGUGGAAACAGGUUAAAGAAGGAUUGUUAAGCCUUGAGACAUGGAUUGUGUAUGUGUAUGCCAUUCAGAGGUUGAAUGGGCAAGACAAAAUAUUUCAGUGUCGUUGAACGGGGUAUGGUAGUAGGUGCCAGGCACACUGGGUUGAGUCACUGGCAUCAACAUGGGCCAGCAUCCCUUGUGGAACGCUUUCGACACAUUGUUGAGUCCAUGCCCCCGACGAAUUGAGGCUGUUCUAAGGGCAAAAGGGGGUGAAACUAAAUAUUAGGAAAGGUGUUCCUAAUGUUUGGUACACUCCGUGUAUGUAGACACAAACAUUGAGGAGUUGCUCCAGUACAUAACUGGUAAUAAAUAUUUAAUGCGGUUCAGAAGAAGUUCCUUACACCAAGAUCUUAGAACAAGGUGAGUGUUAGUAGCCAUUGGUCGAGCUCAGAGGGGACAAACUCAUCCAAUAACAUUGUCCCAAUGGCCCCUCGUCCAAACAUGGCGUAUCCUCAAGUUCCAUACUGAUCUGAUACCCGGUACAUACAAUUAAUUCCAGCAUGCACCAGUUGACUGUAUAGAUACGUUGGUAUUGACAGUAGGUUUGGAAAAAGAGAAAAACAACUUGUUACCAUGAUUAUGGUAUUUAAAGUCUAAUAAAUUAUUGAAAAUGUUGAGGACAAAAAGGUCACACGUCUUAUAUCAUCUGGGCAAAUAAAAUCAGAGAGGAAUGUCAGAAUCCAGCUGACAACUCUCACGAUGCAUUUCCCUAUCGCUUCAACUCACACAUUCUCAAAGUUUCCCUUUCGACAUCCUUUUGGUCAGACAAGCAAGCAGCGUGACAUAUCCUAUGGCAUAAUCAGCAAAGUGUACCCACAUCAGUCCCAUUUUUGAUUGAAACAAAAAUAUCAACAUGAAUAUUUAGAACCAAAAUCCUUCUAAAUCGAACCCGGCUGGACAAAUGUAAGGAAUCCAUUUAUACAUUUCUUCUUUAACUUUCCCCCUUUACCAACUUUAACUUUCACCAGAGUGUGAGUGGCCCAUAGGAGGCCUCACUCUAUUUGAGCCAGGGGUCGGUCUGUCUGUCUUCUUUGAGCCAGGGGUCGGUCGGUCUGUCUGUCUUCUUUGAGCCAGGGGUCGGUCUGUCUUCUUUGAGCCAGGGGUCGGUCUGUCUGUCUGUCUUCUUUGAGCCAGGGGUCGGUCUGUCUGUCUGUCUGUAUUCUUUGAGCCAGGGGUCUGUCUGUCUUCUUUGAGCCAGGGGUCUGUCUGUAUUCUUUGAGCCAGGGGUCUGUCUGUCUGUCUGUCUUCUUUGAGCCAGGGGUCUGUCUGUCUUCUUUGAGCCAGGGGUCUCUGGGUCUGUCUGUAUUCUUUGAGCCAGGGGUCGGUCUGUCUGUCUGUCUUCUUUGAGCCAGGGGUCUGUCUGUCUUCUUUGAGCCAGGGGUCGUGUCUGUCUGUCUGUAUUCUUUGAGCCAGGGGUCUGUCUGUCUGUCUGUAUUCUUUGAGCCAGGGGUCUGUCUGUAUUCUUUGAGCCAGGGGUCUGUCUGUAUUCUUUGAGCCAGGGGUCGGUCGGUCUGUCUGUCUUCUUUGAGCCAGGGGUCUGUCUGUCUUCUUUGAGCCAGGGGUCUGUCUGUAUUCUUUGAGCCAGGGGUCUGUCUGUAUUCUUUGAGCCAGGGGUCUGUCUGUCUGUCUGUAUUCUUUGAGCCAGGGGUCGGUCGGUCUGUCUUCUUUGAGCCAGGGGUCUGUCUGUAUUCUUUGAGCCAGGGGUCUGUCUGUCUGUCUGUCUGUCUGUCUGUCUGUAUUCUUUGAGCCAGGGGUCUGUCUGUCUUCUUUGAGCCAGGGGUGUGUCUGUCUUUGAGCCAGGGGUCUGUCUGUCUUUGAGCCAGGGGUCUGUCUGUCUUUGAGCCAGGGGUCUGUCUGUCUUUGAGCCAGGGGUCUGUCUGUCUUUGAGCCAGGGGUCUGUCUGUCUUUGAGCCAGGGGUCUGUCUGUCUUCUUUGAGCCAGGGGUCUGUCUGUCUUUGAGCCAGGGGUCUGUCUGUCUUUGAGCCAGGGCCGGUCUCUGUAUCAGAGUGUCUCACUGAGAGGUUUCUUUCAGUUGAACUCACUCAUCUUGGAUAUAGGUUUGAUUGCACUAGAUGUCCAUCCAGUGUUCUGACAGACAGUCAGUUUGGGUUUAAACAGGAAGACGCUAGACUCCGCCCUUCCUCAGCAGACAGACAGCAGAUUUUUAAUGACACAAUUACAACAAGAUUUCCUGCAUGUGUUAAUUGGGUUGGUCGGGUUAUUUGGGUUGGUCGGGCUAUUUGGGUUGGUCGGGCUAUUUGGGUUAGAUAGGUUGGUUGGGUUGGUUGUGUCCCAAAAAACUGAUUUUCAAAAACUGUUAUUUUAUUUGUACUCACCAUUUGAACAAUAAUUAAUUCCUCUGUGUUCAAAAUGUAAAUCUAUAACCUAUGGGAUUCAGACAACCAGAAUAUUAAAAAGAGCAACAUUAAGUGAGGGGCUUCAUGUUCCUUUGGGGAGCACAUGAACAUCACACAUUGAGUCUAUGGUCUGGAACAAGCAGUAAACGUUUGACUUGGUGAAGUGCUGGGGAAAAACAGACACGUCAUCCCAGACAUGCCUCUUUUGUGAUAAAAUGCACAGAAAAAUAAUUGGCCAUGCACAGAAAGUGUUGCUAACAGUUUCACCAACCACUGCCCCAGUUAUUGUCCCUUUGUCCACAUCCAGCACAAUGCUCCAAUCUCAAAAGGGGAGCAAAAAUGUGCUGCGUCAACUAGCAUAAAAUUCAGUCUGUGUGAGACUUGGCUUUUGGUGUGAGUUAGUUGACCCCUGAAACAGUCAGGUACUAAUCCAAUUGUGCACUACAAAGGGGACAGUGGUUCAAUGGGUUUCCCCUAACCAUUACAUCAACCAUCCCUCUUGCUUCUUAGUCAGUCUUUCCAUUAUCUCGUGUCUCCACUUUGUGCCGUCGGGCCGAGCACAUGACCUUGUAGCAGCCGCGGGCGAUCUUAUGCAUCCACAUGACGUUCAUGACAUCCAGCGAGACGCUGGAGAUGAUCCAGGCAGCGCGGCCUUCCGGCGGGACGCGGUAAAAGGCUUCGGUGCCGUACACAGACCACAUGCGGCUGUAGUAGAGGGGCAUGACGGCGAUGCGAACCAGGAAGAAGACCAGGGCCAUUGCCAUCCCGUUAGCGAUGUUGGGCUUGGAGGACUUGGGGUAACCUAACACUUCAAAGAACCAGCUGGAAGAAAGACACAGUCAUCAGAACGAUGUAAAGAAAGGCACAGUCAGAACAACGAUGUAAAGAAAGUCACAGUCAGAACAACGAUGUAAAGAAAGUCACAGUCAGAACAACGAUGUAAAGAAAGUCACAGUCAGAACAACAAUGUAAAGAAAGACACAGUCAGAACAACGAUGUAAAGAAAGUCACAGUCAGAAC
rnacentral:lncRNA from 1 species